CUCUUUGGCCCGUUUAUCUGCACUACAACUGCGCACCCUCUCCACUUUUAGACUCUUUGGCCCGUUUAUCUGCACUACAACUGCGCACCCUCUCCACUUUUAGACUCUUUGGCCCGUUUAUCUGCACUACAACUGCGCACCCUCUCCGCUUUUAGACUCUUUGGCCCGUUUAUCUGCACUACAACUGUGCACUCUCUCCGCUUUUAGACUCUUUGGCCCGUUUAUCUGCGUUACAACUGAGCACUUUUUCCGCUUUUAGACUCUUUGGCCCGUUUUUGACACCUAGCGUUCAAACUUUGAAUCUCACAUUAUAAAAACCUGCUUAACAGCGGGCCAACUUUCAUUCUAUUUCUAAAAUACCUCGCGGGCCGCUUCAAAAAAGGAAAUGGGCCGCAAAUGGCCCGAGGGCCAAAGUUUGGACACCCCUGCUGUAGACGCUCACUUGACUCUUGUUUAAUUUUUCUUUUUUUAAAGUGCCAGAAGAAGAACUUCAGCAGAACAGUAGAAGAAGAACUAGAGAACAGCAGGAAACUCAGGAGAAGAAAAGCAAAAGCCUCAGCAAGAGAACUGCAGGAGAACAGAUGCAUUAGUGAAAUAUGAAAAAAUGGGGAAGAUAUCACAAGUAUGAAGCAAAACCAGUGAACAUUAUGGGAUGCACCACUUCGGGAAAAUCGGACACUAGCGUACUCGACGUCGUCCCCUGCAGGUUUCUUCACCACUUUAUCACGGCGGUGCUGGACAGUGGCAUACUGGACCUCUUCAUCAGUUCCAUUAGAAGAAGCGUUCACUGCAGGGCUUGGUUUGAGUCUACGAGGUACAACUGUGGCGUACUGAACAUCAUCCUGAUUGGAUGGAUGUGGAUCAGGUGUUGAAUUGGUGACAGCCGAUAUCUCUCCCACAUUACUGUAGAUAUUAUCCUGUAGUGAAAAAAUAUGUUGAUGGAAGACUCAGAUGUGCUCAGAUGUGAUAACAGGUGCUGUGAUUAAGAUUAACAAUCAAACCUGUAUAUAUUUCUUAUGCUGUUAAUAUAUUCAGUGUCAGAGAAAAAAUACCAUAUCUAGAUUGCUGCAAAAACUCAGCAUGCAGUUAAGUCAUAUGUCAAAAGUCAGAUAUCUAAAUAAAGGCUGUCAAAUUUAAAUCAUUUAAUCACAAAAAUAAUGAAAAUGGCUCAUGACUGAAGACCAGAGUAACGUACAGUGGCGUGAAAAAGUAUUUGCCCCUGACAGAUUUCUUUUGGUUUUGCAUUUUUGUCAUAAUUACAUUUUCAGAUGAUCAA